GCAGAUGGAAAGCCCUUGUGUAGAGGGGACUCUCUCUGGUUUUAUAAAGUAUCAAAUGAUGGAUACACAUCCUGUUCAACUGGAAUUUUCCAUGAACUUAUCACUACUAGAUUUUAUUAGGCCAUUAAAGAUCUCAACUGAAGACUUUGGCAAACUCUGGUUGUCUUUUGCAAAUGAUGUGAAGCAAAAUAUAAAAAUAUCAGAGCCUCGAGUUGCACUGGCUUCUGUCCUGACAGAGCUGCAGCAGAAACUCAGACUUUGCGUGGUUGACGUCAUAGGCAGUGAAGGUCUGCUGGCCUGUAAGCUGCUUCCGUCCACCCCCUGUAUCCUGCACUGCCGAGUACACGCUGACGUGGUAGCCCUGUGGUUCCGAUCCUCUAGCUCUGUUCUUUCAGACUGUUUAUCUUGUCACUGUCAGAAAGUGAUGCAGACAUCCUAGCAAAGUUCUGUUAAGUUUUACUUUUUUCACAUAAAUGGUUUACAUUUACAACCUUACCAAAGUAAAAAGCACUCGUGGUACUUCUCAUGGGAAUGGGGAUUUGUCAGGUUUGGGUUAUGUGUUUUCUUCUUGAUUCCUGCUAAGAAUGAUCCCCAAGAAACUAUGUCAUUAAUUUUUUUACUCAGGAUUGUACAGUGUGUUUGGGUCCCCCUCCCCCAAAAUGACCUAAACUAAUGUUAUAAAAUGCUAAUUAUUUUAUGUCACUUAAUGUGGAGGAACUGAAAAUAUUUAUUUU
rnacentral:lncRNA from 1 species